GAUGAAGAACGUAGCGAAAUGCGAUACGUAAUGUGAAUUGCAGAAUUCAGUGAAUCAUCGAAUCUUUGAACGCAUAUUGCGCUCUUUGGUAUUCCGAAGAGCAUGCUUGUUUGAGUAUCAGUAAACACCUCAAAGCUUUUGGAUUUUUUAAUCGAAAAGCUUUGGACUUGAGCAAUCCCAACACCAAUCUUUUUGAGAUCGGUGGCGGGUUGCUUGAAAUGCAGGUGCAGCUGGACAUUCUCCUGAGCUAAAAGCAUAUUCAUUUAGUCCCGUCAAACGGAUUAUUAAUUUUGCUGCAGCUAACAUAAAGGGAGUUUGACCGUAUUGGCUGACUGAUGCAGGAUUUCACAAGGGUCGGCAACGAUUCUUGUUAAACUCGAUCUCAAAUCAAGUAAGACUACCCGCUGAACUUAAGCAUAUCAAUAAGCGGAGGA
rnacentral:misc_RNA from 1 species